rnacentral:rRNA from 1 species
GAUGAACGCUGGCGGCGUGCCUAAUACAUGCAAGUCGAGCGAACGGACGAGAAGCUUGCUUCUCUGAUGUUAGCGGCGGACGGGCGAGUAACACGUGGAUAACCUACCUAUAAGACUGGGAUAACUUCGGGAAACCGUAGCUAAUACCGGAUAAUAUUUUGAACCGCAUGGUUCAAAAGUGAAAGACGGUCUUGCUGUCACUUAUAGAUGGAUCCGCGCUGCAUUAGCUAGUUGGUAAGGUAACGGCUUACCAAGGCAACGAUGCAUAGCCGACCUGAGAGGGUGAUCGGCCACACUGGAACUGAGACACGGUCCAGACUCCUACGGGAGGCAGCAGUAGGGAAUCUUCCGCAAUGGGCGAAAGCCUGACGGAGCAACGCCGCGUGAGUGAUGAAGGUCUUCGGAUCGUAAAACUCUGUUAUUAGGGAAGAACAUAUGUGCAAGUAACUGUGCACAUCUUGACGGUACCUAAUCAGAAAGCCACGGCUAACUACGUG